AAGGGAGACCUAAUUCGGGUAUGGGACGAAAAAAAAGUAGUCGCUACCAAGGAUCAAUCCCAAAAGGUCGGAGCGAGGCGAAAUUGGCUUUCAAACUAGGUUCUGGGUUCACACAAGACCUGAAUCAGGAACAAGGGCUAUUAGCUCAGGUGGUUAGAGCGCACCCCUGAUAAGGGUGAGGUCCCUGGUUCGAGUCCAGGAUGGCCCACCUGCACAGGUGGCAAAAACAAGAGAAGCUCCGAAUCAGCACCUUAUCUUACUUAUAUAGUAAGAGAGAAUGCUGGCUCUGAGUUCAGAGUCCAGAGGAACCUUGAAAACUGCAUAGAGCUAGGUGAAAAAGCCAAAAAAGAAGACCGCAUGCAA
rnacentral:tRNA from 1 species